AGUUCUUAAAGCCCACACCCACAGUGACACACCUACUCUAACAAGGCCACACCUUCUUCAACAGGGCCAUACCUUCUAAUAGUGCCACUCCCCGGGCAGAGCAUUUACAAACCAUCACACCCGGUGUAAUCUCUGAGUAAUGGGGCUUCUGCUUUGUCCAUAAGCAUUGUGAGUCAGCUGACAGUGUUAGGAAAUGGACCUCUGUGAAGGAGCAGAAUUUCUAUAUCCAUGUGGUACCCCAUGGGCAUAUCAAGUUGUCUGAGACCACUGAAUUACAGAUAGCAGGGUGAGUGUACGGGCCAUGCGGUCCUACAUUACAGUUGGUCCUUAUGCAUUGAAAGGAUACACCUACCCGUUUAAUUGUCACAAAGUUUUAUUUCCAAAAUAUAAACAAAAUAAAUAGGGCAGGAUAUUGAAAAGGUUUCAUGAAAGAGUCUGAAGCUGCUUGAUACAUCUGGUCAGGCGGCAGCUUUAAGUCUCAAUGACAGAGUUCUAGGACGUACACAUUUGUACACCUGAGGCCCCCUAACCCCUGCCACAUGCUAAGUGCUUGUGAAACAUACCUGUGUGCUAGGAACCGAGAUCAUUGCAUGGUACAGGGAGGCUGAAGCACAGGACCAACCGUGCUUGCAGGGUUCCUGCUGUAGUGUGGGCGUGCAGUGUGCUGAUGCAGAAGAAUGAACACCUCAGAGUGCAGCUGAACGGCACAGAGAAACGGUGAAGUGAGCUGUUGCCCCGUCUCUGGGCUUUGUUCAGUCUUAUUUCAGAUAACUCUGCAACAGUUUGGCGAAGUGCAUUCUAUAGAGUAGAAAACACAUGUUUAAAGGUAGAAGACAAGAGAAGAUUCUAGAGAAUUUUGAGCAUCAUUUCCUACACCAUUAGCACUCUGUGCCAUAGACCCAACCCGGGACACUUCCCCUAGUUAAGACCUCCCCCUCUGAACUGCAUUGGUGGGACACUUCCACUUUUAAUCCUUAAAUCGCAAGGACAUUGAGCUCAGUAGUGUUCUGUCCCUUUCUGUUAGUGUAUGAGACGUAGGAGGUUAGGUGUCAUCAAGUGGGCAGUGAACAAAGCCUAAGGUUUCUGCCAGCUGUAAACAACUCGGCAUCCUGUUGUUUGAACAGAAAUAUCUCAGUGAAUGUGUGUGUGUGCUAAAAGUAGAUUCCCUCAGGUUUUUGUUUUUUUGUCAGAAUAGGGGUGGAGUCAUUGAACAGGAAGAAAAGGGAUCCGGUAAACAGGAAUUGCUGCUGAGAGAUGGGUUGAGGGGAAGAUGGGAUCCUUGUGAGAAUGAAGAGGGCCCUCCCCCACCCCCCUUCAGUCACUGCUGUGGGAAGAGACCUGAAGUUUGCUAGCACUGCAUGGUGCAGCUCACAAGAUUCGGAAGUUACUUCAGUUGAUCCCCACAGAUUAGGCAGUUGUGUUUAAUUGUAAUAGUCUCAGUGCUUACGCUGUGAGGCUCAUUUUCUUAGUUUGCUUUUGUUUUUGUGUUUUUGAGACAGGGUUUCUCUGUGUCGUCUUAGCUGUGCUGGAACUCACUCUGUAGAUCAGGCUGGAUCCACCUGCCAGUGCCUCCCAAGUGCUGGGAUCAGAGCCAGUUUUGUUGCUUGUUCUUUCUCUCUCUCUUUUCUUUUAUUUUCAGUUUCUUUUAUUACAUUGUGUGUGUGUGUGUGUGUGUGUGUGUGUGUGUGUUUGUGUGUGUGUGUAUGCAUGGGCCUCAUGUAGAGGUCAAAAGAGAACUUGCAGGAGUUGUCAUGUGGGUCCUGGGGAUUGAACUCAGGAUGUCAGGCUUGGUGGUAAGUGUCUUUACUGGCUGAGUCCGUCAACAUUGUCUUGUUAGGUAGCCAAGGUUGGUCUCACUCCUAAUCUUCCCAUCUGAGAUCCACAGGUAUGUGCCACCAUGACUGGUUUUGUUUUUGUUUUUAAUAAAAAUAUUUUUAUUUUAGUAUUGCUAGUAAAGUCUCAGUAGUAAGAUAGCCAUCUUUUUUAGUGUUUACAUACAUAUGUUCAAGAAGGUUGAGAAAGUGGCAGGUGAGAUACUUAAAAAACAAUUUUAUCUUCCCAAAAAAAGGAAGAAAAAAAAAGC
rnacentral:lncRNA from 1 species